CAUGCGGUUAGGAGUCAGACACUGGCUGGGGCUGGGUUCAUCAGAUCACUGCACUAUUCUUUUAUUUAUCAAAUAUUUAUUGACUAUUUUGUGUGAAGCGCUGCUAGGCGGUGAAGAUACAAUAGUUAUUACAGCAUAAUUCUAGUCUCCUUGGGGCAGGAUGCCAUCUUUAAGAAUCUCAGUAGGUGGUAAGUGCUAAAAAAUAGUAUGAAAGAGCAUUAUGGACUCAUGGAGUCAAACAUGGAAGGCUUCCUGGAGUUGGUGACUUAUGAGGGGACUCAAAUGAUGGGAGCCAUGAAAGGAUUGUGAGAAGGAAAAUGACAUAAUAAGCUUUCUAUUUUUAAAACGUCAGUGCCAUGUGGAAGGAACAAAGGAAGGAGUGAAGGCUGGAGAGGAAGGAGGCCAGGUAGCAAGAAGGUCAUUGCAAAAGUCUAGGUAAAAGACAUAAGGCAGCUUUGGUGGAAAUGAAGAGGUAAGUACAGAUUUAGGAGCUGAGGGAUUACACGUGUGGGGUGACCUCCUGAUUUUUGAAUUGUAUAUUGUUAGAUAGUGGUGGCUUUAAUUAAGAUAGCAGUCAGAGGAAAAUAAAAUUUUAGAGUACUUUGUUUUUGACAUUUGCAUUUGAGGUAUUUGUAGGACACCAUGGUAGAUAUGUCUAAUAAAUAGUGAGAUGUAUGAUGCCUGGGUAUAUUCAUUUAGGAGCUAACAUUUUGCUGAUUGUUGAAGCUAAGGACUUGAAUGGUGUAACUUAGGCCAGGUCUUAAUUCUGGAGCAAGGAUCUGCAGUAACAUAGAAUCUGUGUGUCAAUGUUCUCCAGCCAAAGACCACCAAAGGCUUGGGUUUAUUACUCAUUGCAGUAAGGAAAAACAUGUAUCCUGGAGAACUG
rnacentral:lncRNA from 1 species